rnacentral:lncRNA from 1 species
GAAGUCAGGGACCAUUGUGAAGAUGGAAGAAUGCCCACAAAAUCCAGCUUGAAACCUGCUGGCUCAGCAGUGCUGGUAACCAAGAAGUAUUGCAGGCCCAGGAAAGUUACCCUUCUAUUUGCGGAGAGCUAUUGCCUAUCGGCCUGGACCAGCAGAUAACUCAGCACUCAUGAUCAGCUGUCAAGCUCUAACGGAGUGUUGAGGCAGUCCCUGAAACCACAGCGCCAUUUUGUAGGAACUAAGAAGCCAACCUCAAGGAAUCACUCGCCCCAAGAAGACUUUGUUCUGAGCUGAUGUGUUUCUAGCCUGGUGGAGCCCCAGCUAUCCAAAGGAAGAGCUGUCAAGAAGAUUGGAACUUUGGUUUUUCCGAUUCACUCUUUUUUUCUCUCCAGCCAUCUGCCUUAAACAGCAGGAGAAAAGGAAACUCAGCCUUAAAGGUGGGGUCCUUCGGAAGGACUGACAGUGGGCUAGCUCUCCUGCUGCUGGGAACCUGAGUGCCUUUGGCUCCUUGUCCAGAGCUCAGCUUUACCACGGAGGUUACCUGCUUACCAUCAACAUCGAAACUUGCCUCUUCCCCUGGGUGUAUUCUCCCUCUUUUGUGUACAGUUUGGUUCCUCCAAACUGCUCUCCCUGUGAAGAAAGCCGAUGGAAUUCAGGGAGCCUGGCCAGCCACCCAGGCCUUUAUAAAGGUCCUCGUACCACAGGAUGUAUGGGAGACCCAAUAAAGACUUUGCAAAAUG